ACUCCUACGGAGGCGAGCAGUGGGGAAUAUUGGCAACAAUUGGGCGCAAGGCCUGAUGCAGCCAUGCCGCGUGUGUGAAGAAGGCCUUCGGGUUGUAAAGCACUUUCAGUCGUGAGGAAGGUAGUGUAGUUAAUAGCUGCAUUAUUUGACGUUAGCGACAGAAGAAGCACCGGCUAACUCCGUGCCAGCAGCCGCGGUAAUACGGAGGGUGCGAGCGUUAAUCGGAAUUACUGGGCGUAAAGCGCAUGCAGGUGGUUUGUUAAGUCAGAUGUGAAAGCCCGGGGCUCAACCUCGGAAUUGCAUUUGAAACUGGCAGACUAGAGUACUGUAGAGGGGGGUAGAAUUUCAGGUGUAGCGGUGAAAUGCGUAGAGAUCUGAAGGAAUACCGGUGGCGAAGGCGGCCCCCUGGACAGAUACUGACACUCAGAUGCGAAAGCGUGGGAGCAAACAGGAUUAGAUA
rnacentral:rRNA from 1 species